rnacentral:rRNA from 1 species
UAGCUGUAACCGAUGCGGACUUGGUGUUGGGGUGGCUUUGAGCUGUCCCAGUGCCGAAGGGAAGCUGUUAAGUCCGCCGCCUGGGAAGUACGGUCGCAAGACUGAAACUUAAAGGAAUUGGCGGGGGUGCACCACAACGCGUGGAGCCUGCGGUUUAAUUUGGAUUCAACGCCGGACGUCUCACCAGAGGCGACAGCUGUAUGAUUGUCAAUCUGGAGGUUUUACAUGACUAGCUGAGAGGAGGUGCAUGGCGUCAGUGAC